AUUGGAGGGCAAGUCUGGUGCCAGCAGCCGCGGUAAUUCCAGCUCCAAUAGCGUAUAUUAAAGUUGUUGCGGUUAAAAAGCUCGUAGUUCGAGUUCAGUUUCGGACUGGGGUGGGAGGUCACCGCCCGGUGCUUGCCCCCUAGGCUCCGAACAGCUUUCCGUGAGUGGAAGCCAAGCCGGUUCUGGCGGGGUGCUCUUUACCGAGUGUGCCGUACGGCCGGCCAGUUCACCUUGAAUAAAUGAGAGUGCUCAAAGCAGGCUACUCUGGAAUACAAUGCCGGAAUUUUCCUUGCAUGGAAUGAUGGAAGAUGAUCUCGGUUCCAUUUUGUUGGUGGUGGGAGCCCGAGGUAAUGAUAAAGAGGGACUGUCGGGGGCAUCCGUACUACGACGCGAGAGGUGAAAUUCAGUGACCGUCGUAGGACGAACAACAGCGAAAGCAUUUGCCAAGAAUGUCUUCGUUGAUCAAGAACGAAAGUUAGAGGAUCGAAGGCGAUCAGAUACCGCCCUAGUUCUAACCCUAAACGAUGCUGACUAGCAAUUCGCCGUCGUUAUUCCCAUGACGUGGCGAGACGCCCCCGGGAAACCUCAAGUCUUUGAGUUCCGGGGGUAGUAUGGUUGCAAAAGUGAAACUUAAAGGAAUUGACGGAAGGGCACCACCAGGAGUGGAGCCUGCGGCUUAAUUUGACUCAACACGGGAAAGCUCACCAGGCCCGGACACCAGAAGGAUUGACAGAUUAAGAGCUCUUUCUCGAUUU
rnacentral:rRNA from 1 species